rnacentral:rRNA from 1 species
GAUUGAACGCUGGCGGCAUGCCUUACACAUGCAAGUCGAACGGCUAGCACGGGAGCAAUCCUGGUGGCGAGUUGGCGAACGGGUGAGUAAUAUAUCGGAACGUGCCCAGUCGUGGGGGAUAACGUAGCGAAAGCUACGCUAAUACCGCAUACGAUCUAUGGAUGAAANCGGGGGAUCGCAAGACCUCGCGCGAUUGGAGCGGCCGAUAUCAGAUUAGGUAGUUGGUGAGGUAAAGGCUCACCAAGCCGACGAUCUGUAGCUGGUCUGAGAGGACGACCAGCCACACUGGGACUGAGACACGGCCCAGACUCCUACGGGAGGCAGCAGUGGGGAAUUUUGGACAAUGGGCGCAAGCCUGAUCCAGCAAUGCCGCGUGCAGGAUGAAGGCCUUCGGGUUGUAAACUGCUUUUGUACGGAACGAAACGGUGAGCUCUAAUACAGUUUGCUAAUGACGGUACCGUAAGAAUAAGCACCGGCUGACUACGUG